rnacentral:rRNA from 1 species
GACGAACGCUGGCGGCGCGCUUAACACAUGCAAGUCGAGCGAGAACCAGGCCUUCGGGCCUGGGGACAGCGGCGAACGGGUGAGUAACACGUGGGUAAUCAACCCUCGGUACUGGGAUAGCCCGGGGAAACCCGGAUUAAUACCGGAUGGCCCUUCGGAUCCUCGGAUCUGAAGGAAAAGGUAGCUUCGGCCUCCGACCGAGGACGAGCCCGCGGCGGAUUAGCUUGUUGGUGGGGUAACGGUCUACCAAGGCGGCGAUCCGUAGCUGGUCUGAGAGGACGAUCAGCCACACUGGGACUGAGACACGGCCCAGACUCCUACGGGAGGCAGCAGUGGGGAAUCUUGCGCUAAUGCGGGAAACCGUGACGCAGCGACGCCGCGUGAGGGAAGAAGGCCUUCGGAUUGUAAACCUCUUUCAGGAGGGACGAAGCUACUCGGGUUAAUAGCCCAGAGGGUGACGGUACCUCCAGAAGAAGCCCCGGCUAACUACGUGCCAGCAGCCGCGGUAAGAC